rnacentral:rRNA from 1 species
UACGUAGGCAGCGAGCGUUGUUCGGAGUUACUGGGCGUAAAGGGUGUGUAGGCGGUUGUUUAAGUUUGGUGUGAAAUCUCCCGGCUCAACUGGGAGGGUGCGCCAAAUACUGAAUGACUUGGAGUGCGGGAGAGGAAAGUGGAAUUCCUGGUGUAGCGGUGAAAUGCGUAGAUAUCAGGAGGAACACCGGUGGUGUAGACGGCUUUCUGGACCGUAACUGACGCUGAGACACGAAAGCGUGGGUAGCAAACAGG